AUGAUGAUUAUUCCCCACCUUCUAAGAGACAAAGACCAGCGAGCCACCACAGCCACCAGUCCCAGAACCCGCCAAUGCUGGGGAACGGAAAAUGAGGGAGUUCAACUCUGGCCCUCACAAUCCAGUGGAGGAGACGAAACUCAUCUGCUUCUGUCCCUCUGGGCACGCCUCAUGCCAGGUGCAUCUGUGGACAGGUGCCAUGCUCCCGGGCUUCCAAAGUUGGAGAAAGCUGCCAGGCUCAGGUCUGAAGGCCAGAAUUCUACAGUAAGUCCUACUGAGUCAAGGUGGGAGCAGGGUCGGUGGCUUCCGAGGCUCUGCGGGAGAAUCCGUUUCCUGGCCGUAGAGGUGGCCUGCACUCCUCAGCUUGUGCUGCCCGUCUCGAAUGACUGGAGUUUCCUGCUUCUGUCACUACACCUCCCACCCUCUCCAUCACCUGCUCUGCUCUUUUAAGGAUCCGAAGAAAUGGAAUCAUCGUAUCGCUGAUCUACGUAAACAAAUUGAAGAAUUGUCUGAAAGAAAAUAUGACAUGAACUUAUGAAUUCAACAGGUGAAGAUUUACAACUUGAUAAAUCAGCUUUGUGAGCUCAAGCUGUAAAAGCCAAAGGUCCUGUGAUGAUCCCAUACCCUUUUUUCCAGUCUCAUGUUGAAGAUUUUUAUGUAGAAGGCCUUCCCAACGGAAUUUUUUUUUUUUUUUUUUUUUUGAGAUAGAGUUUUCACUCUUAUCGCCCAGGCUGGGGUGCAAUGGCGCAACCUUGCUGGUCACUGCAACCUCUGCCUCCUGGGUUCAAGAAAUUCUCCUGCCUUAGCCUCCCA